GAGAUGGCUUGGUGCCUUCGGGAACCGUGAGACAGGUGCUGCAUGGCUGUCGUCAGCUCGUGUUGUGAAAUGUUGGGUUAAGUCCCGCAACGAGCGCAACCCUUAUCCUUUGUUGCCAGCGGUUCGGCCGGGAACUCAAAGGAGACUGCCAGUGAUAAACUGGAGGAAGGUGGGGAUGACGUCAAGUCAUCAUGGCCCUUACGAGUAGGGCUACACACGUGCUACAAUGGCAUAUACAAAGAGAAGCGACCUCGCG
rnacentral:rRNA from 1 species